rnacentral:lncRNA from 1 species
GACAUUUUCAUUUCCAAAAUUCGGAGGGAGGAGCAAAAUCUACUAGCAGUUCCUAUAGUGUGGGUAUGUGAAAAAGUCAUAUUUGUUUAGCAUCAAUCUGAGUGGGUGAGAACCGUUGUGGAAAGGCUCUCCUGCCCUUCUGCUCUGAGCUCUGUGUUUCCUUCUGCUGCCCUUUACUUGCCCUCUCAGGGCCCUUCCCCCUGUCCCCCACAUUAGUUCUUCUUCCUUCAUAGAAGCUCAGAAGGAGGAAGAACAGUACCAGGGCCCUGCCCCUCCUACCAUCUCCCUGGGGGCCAGGUGGAGGGUUGACAGCUCCCUGUGUCGUCUCAUUUUGAGUAACAAGAGAGGACCAGCAUGGCCCCAGAAAUCCUAUUGCUGCUGCUGCUGUCACUAGGAAACUCAGGCAAGCCAGGGAGGACUUGGGCUGAGCUCCAGUACCAGGAGUUGAGACCGAGGUCUCCAGACUACAGGAGACCAGAACAGGCUGAGGAAGAGUACAGACGACUGGAAGGGGAGACGUUCAGUGUGAACUGCUCCUACGAGUCCCAGGAGCAUGAACAUAGAUGGAUGUCUUGGUGUAAAAAGCAAGAGAAUGGAGACGAGUGUGGCAUACCACGCUUAGAAACAAGCUCCAACUUUUCCGUGGCAGGCAAUGAAUAUUUGUCCGCUUAUGAUAAUAAUAGUGGCAUUAUCACCAUCACUAUCACAAAGUUCAGUCUCAGAGUAAAGGAUUCAGGUGACUAUGAGUGUGUGAUGCCUGAAGAACCUGAUAAGAGGAAAGAAGUCUUCAGGAGAUUCCACCUAGUGGUGUCCCCAGGCAUCAUUUGUACCAGGAGGAUCUACCAGAAAGCCGGGAAAGGUGAGAAAUGGGGUAUCUUAACCCUUUUAUACAUUCCAUCUCUGCCCCCAAUCUCCCUGAUCUCAUACCUCUCUAAUAUUGUGAUCUCAGGUCAGCUAAUGAGAGUUCAGGAU